rnacentral:antisense_RNA from 1 species
CUUCACCGAGCCCAGCCACAGCGGGCGGUCCUCGGGCCGGUCCUGGCCGUAGGUGGCGAGCAGCGCCUGGGCCUC